CCAAUAAAGCCCAAUAACUCCUAACAACUAGAGUUUGGUGUUUGUAUGUGUAUGUGUAGAAGCAUAAAGAUCUCUCUCUUCAUUUAGAAAUGCCGUCAAGAGAAGAAUAGAGAGAGAGACAGAGAGAGAGAGAAAGGAGAAUUGUAGCAAAGGCAACGUGAUCACCACCGGAGCUUCACGUAGUCACCGUCGUUCACUUCUCCCACCGGAAUCGAUGGCGAAGGAGACAGAUCAUUCCACAAGGAUAGCAAAGCAGUGAUGAGUCUAUUUUGUAGCAGAUCAGAGAUGGACAAAUUUGGAGAAAAUGAAUCAUUCUGGAGCUAAACCGGAGAUUUGGAGCUAAGGAGACGAUUUCGGCAUCAGACCAAGACAUGAGUUUCGACCGACACCCAUUGGUGUCGCUCGACACCACACACGGCCCCGUGAAAAGUCUCGACGGUUUAAAGUUUUAAAGCCCGCAUAAUCAACCCAGAAGAUUUCCUUAAUUGCAAUUUUAGUCCUUGCACGUUUUUGAGACUUUAUAAAUAGUUUUUAGGUUUUUUCUAUUUUAUUAUCUUGUCUUUGACUUUUGUAAUUCUCUGAGCUUGAACCCUUUGGAAGAUAAUUGGAGAGAGCUAUUUUCAGAGAUUU